rnacentral:sRNA from 1 species
AUGUACCCACGUACACUCCGGUUCCUCCGCGCCGUCCGCACCCACCUGACGACUGCUCGCUUUGUUAGCC